UACGGGGGGGGCAAGCGUUGUUCGGAAUUACUGGGCGUAAAGGGCCUGUAGGUGGCCAACUAAGUCAGACGUGAAAUCCCUCAGCUUAACUGGGGAACUGCUUCUGAUACUGGAUGGCUUGAGUUUGGGAGAGGGAUGCGGAAUUCCAGGUGUAGCGGUGAAAUGCGUAGAUAUCUGGAGGAACACCGGUGGCGAAGGCGGCAUCCUGGACCAACACUGACACUGAAAAGCGAAAGCCAGGGGAGCAAACGGG
rnacentral:rRNA from 1 species